AGAAUAAUCACUCAACACCAGAUGCAAUGCAACAAAGUAAUUAAUGCUCAGAACUCAGAGCUGGGUAUGAAUCAAGGAUCCUUUACUUAGUAGUUAACUAGAAGACUGGGACUAGUUAAUUUCUCCAGUGCUCAGCUUCUUAUCUACAGGUAUCUGCUGAAUCCUCCAAGGGGAACAGAAUAAGGGGAAGAUCCCUGGAGAUCAGAUUCUCAGAUCCAGUAUCCCGUGUGCUGACCUGCCAUGACAAACACUGGCAGGGAGCCUGCCAUAGAGGAAAAGAGUAAGAAUUGGCUGAGUUCACAUAUGGGCUCCAUCAAUAACUAGCGGCCAGUUCUAGGAGCUAAUCUUGAAACAGACCAAGCCUGGAGACCCAGUUGCACAGUUCCAGAGAUGGCUUCAAGGUGGCGAAUUAACAACCCGGCCAUUGUUGAGAUGACGUCAGCCUGAUGUCCAGGUGGACUGGGACCCAAGGUGGCCACCAGAACAAGACACGAGGACAUUGUACUCAGCCCAAUUCUUGCAUGCCUUCCUUAUCAAGUUUUCCCUUUUUAAAACCCAUGCCUUCCCACUCAACCACAACUGAAGCAGUUACUUUGGAUAGGAGUCCAGCUGCUUCCCCUUCAAUAGUUUUGGUUAAUAAAGUCACUUUCUUUCUACCAGAGCUUGCUCUUGUUAAUUGAACUCUGCAAAUGGCGAGCACCUGGACCUGCAUUCUGCUACAAUAAUAUGGAGGAGACUUCCGUUAGAUAAAAAUUAUAGGAGACCAUUGUUUUGGACUAAGCUCCUGCACAAGGCCCCAACGGAACUGAUUAAAAAUCAAAAUGGAGUCACGCAUGUUAAAGUUUCGUGUCACCAAACCUAAACUAAGUUUUUGUCUGACCUUUCUAGAAAUCAGGAGAAGGAAAAAUAGCCAAUUGCCCAAACAGGCCCGUUUAAAUCUUUAAUUUUUCUAUUGUUCUGUCUUCUUGUACGUGGUUUUCAAGAAAAAGUAACUUUGAAAAGUAAUGAAUGCACUC
rnacentral:lncRNA from 1 species